GACGAACGCUGGCGGCGUGCUUAACACAUGCAAGUCGAACGGAAAGGCCUUGCUUUUGUGGGGUGCUCGAGUGGCGAACGGGUGAGUAACACGUGAGUAACCUGCCCUUGACUUUGGGAUAACUUCAGGAAACUGGGGCUAAUACCGGAUAGGAGCUCCUGCUGCAUGGUGGGGGUUGGAAAGUUUCGGCGGUUGGGGAUGGACUCGCGGCUUAUCAGCUUGUUGGUGGGGUAGUGGCUUACCAAGGCUUUGACGGGUAGCCGGCCUGAGAGGGUGACCGGCCACAUUGGGACUGAGAUAAGGCCCAGACUACUACGGGAGGCAGCAGUGGGGAGUAUUACACAGUGGGCGGAAGCAUGAUGCAGCAACGCCGCGUGCGGGAUGACGGCCUUCGGGUUGUAAACCGCUUUCGCCUGUGACGAAGCGUGAGUGACGGUAAUGGGUGAAGAAGCACCGGCUAACUACGUG
rnacentral:rRNA from 1 species